GCCCCUAAAUCAACAAAGCCCAGGUCAUGCAGACUUUUAAUCCGCAGGUCCCAGGUUCGAGCCCUGGUGGGGGCACCA
rnacentral:tRNA from 1 species